GGAAGUAAAAGUCGUAAUAAGGUCUCCGUUGGUGAACCAGCGGAGGGAUCAUUACAGGACUCGCAAGACUCCUUCACCCUGUGAACCUCACUACAAGCACGUUGCUUCGGCGGGUGUCCCGGCGGGGGUUUUCCCUCGCCGGGGCGCACAGCCCGCCGGCAGCCUACUAUACUCUGUCUCUUUGCGUUGGCAUCUCGAGAAAAAACAAACUAGUUAAAACUUUCAACAACGGAUCUCUUGGUUCUG
rnacentral:misc_RNA from 1 species